rnacentral:lncRNA from 1 species
AUGCAAACAGCGGCAGCUUCCCGAGGCCCCACCGCUUCCUCCCAGCGCGUAGGCCAAUGGGAGAUUUCUCCAGCCAUGUCAAAUGGGGAAAUGAGUAUGGAGAAUUUUGAGGGGAAGGACAUUGAGGCGGAAGGACACUGAAUUUAGGGGCAAGGCUGGGCUGGACAUCCCAUAUGUCAAUUUAAUCCACAUUCCAGUGACCAGAAUUCACAUAGCAAUUUCUGCCACUAAGGACAUGAAUGAAAAAAUUUAAGCAAACUAAAGGUGUGUAUUUGUUCAUUCGCGCACUGCUAUAAAGAAAUACCUGAGACUGGGUAAUUUAUAAAGAAAAGAAGUUAAUUGACUCAGUUCUGCAGGCAAUACAGGAAGCAAGAUGCUGUCAUCCGCUUGGCUUCAGGUCUCCAGCUCACUGAAAACAGCCUCCCCUGAUGAGCACACCAUUGUUAUGUAAUAGCCUAACCCUUACCCCUCGCCUAUCAGGGGGUGCCAAGCCUGCAGACUCACUCUGCUUUCCUCAUAACUGCCCUGAGGAGAAGGCUGAAGACUGAGGAAUCCUCUUUC